CCUCUACCUAGAUUAAACCUGCACUUCGGAGGCCCCAGCGCCUCCCUACCCGAUGUCCGGAGGUUCCCACAGCUCUUAAAACCCCUGCACCGCUUCCUCCACCCGAAGAACAUUCACACGUCCUGGGUUGACGUCUAAAGCCUCAUGGUGCAUGAAGAAGUCCAGAAGCGGAGGAGGAGUCAAGAAAAUCCAUCAGGGAUGACUCUCUCUCAGGGACGGUUGAUAUUCAAGCAUAUGGCCACAGUAUUCUCUCGGGAGGAGUGGGCACGACUAGAUCCUGCUCAGAGGGUUUUAUACAGGGACGUGAUGCUGGAGAACUACAGAAAUCUCAUCUCCCUGGGUGAAGAUAACUUUCUUCCAGAAGUCAAGGCAUGUCAUUCUGCGACUUUUGAAUUUGUGUGUGUGUGUGUGUGUAUGUGUACUUAUGUGUGUGUGUUUAUGUGUGUACUAAUCUUUCCAUUCCUUGAUUCCGAUUGAAGAUCUGUUAACUCAGAAAUGAAAAACCUAAUAAAUGGAGAAUUUGGACUGUG